rnacentral:rRNA from 1 species
CGCGGCCUAUCAGCUUGUUGGUGGGGUAACGGCCUACCAAGGCAUCGACGGGUAGCUGGUCUGAGAGGAUGAUCAGCCACACUGGGACUGAGACACGGCCCAGACUCCUACGGGAGGCAGCAGUGGGGAAUCUUGCACAAUGGGCGAAAGCCUGAUGCAGCAACGCCGCGUGCGGGAAGAAGGCCUUCGGGUUGUAAACCGCUUUCAGAAGGAACGAAACUGACGGUACUUUCAGAAGAAGGUGCGGCCAACUACGUGCCAGCAGCCGCGGUGACACGUAGGCACCAAGCGUUGUCCGGAUUUAUUGGGCGUAAAGAGCUCGUAGGCGGUUCAGUAAGUCGGUUGUGAAAACUUUGGGCUUAACCCAAAGCGUGCGUCCGAUACUGCUGUGACUUGAGUCCGGUAGGGGAGUGGGGAAUUCCUAGUGUAGCGGUGAAAUGCGCAGAUAUUAGGAGGAACACCGGUGGCGAAGGCGCCACUCUGGGCCGAAACUGACGCUGAGGAGCGAAAGCAUGGGUAGCAAACAGGAUUAGAUACCCUGGUAGUCCAUGCCGUAAACGUUGGGCACUAGGUGUGGGUUCCAACCAACGGGAUCCGCGCCGUCGCUAACGCAUUAAGUGCCCCGCCUGGGGAGUACGG